rnacentral:rRNA from 1 species
CGUAGGGCGCAAGCGUUAUCCGGAAUUAUUGGGCGUAAAGAGCUUGUAGGCGGUUCGUCGCGUCUGGUGUGAAAGCCCAUCGCUUAACGGUGGGUCGUGCGCCGGGUACGGGCGGGCUAGAGUGCAGUAGGGGAGACUGGAAUUCCCGGUGUAACGGUGGAAUAGUGUAGAUAUCGGGAAGGAACACCAAUGGCGAAAAGGCAGGUCUCUGGGCGUGUUACUGACGCUGAGAAGCGAAAGCGUGGGGAGCGAACAGGAUU